UAUCUCGAUUUUGUUUUUUUUCCUGUAAGACCUUCCAGCAGCUUCUCUAUGAUGAAUUAACAAUUUUCUAAAGAAAAAAGAACUUUUUCUCUCAACUUGCUGCAAAGUUUGUUUUUCAUAACUUAAAAAAUUCGUAUUUUUAUUUUGUCCCUCAACUCUCUGAACCUGACACAUUUCGUUCCUGCCCCCAGGCCAAGCAGUAUUUCACGUGGAUAGUUUUCAUAUGCUGAUCUCCAUAUCGGCAGUGGCGGAGCUGGGUGCUAAAAUUUUAUGUCAUGU
rnacentral:lncRNA from 1 species